rnacentral:rRNA from 1 species
UGGGGAAUUUUGGACAAUGGGGGCAACCCUGAUCCAGCAAUGCCGCGUGAGUGAAGAAGGCCUUCGGGUUGUAAAGCUCUUUUGUCAGGGAAGAAACGGUAGUAGCGAAUAACUAUUACUAAUGACGGUACCUGAAGAAUAAGCACCGGCUAACUACGUGCCAGCAGCCGCGGUAAUACGUAGGGUGCAAGCGUUAAUCGGAAUUACUGGGCGUAAAGCGUGCGCAGGCGGUUGUGUAAGUCAGAUGUGAAAUCCCCGGGCUCAACCUGGGAAUUGCAUUUGAGACUGCACGGCUAGAGUGUGUCAGAGGGGGGUAGAAUUCCACGUGUAGCAGUGAAAUGCGUAGAUAUGUGGAGGAAUACCGAUGGCGAAGGCAGCCCCCUGGGAUAACACUGACGCUCAUGCACGAAAGCGUGGGGAGCAAACAGGAUUAGAUACCCCGGUAGUCCCUGAGCGGGCUGGCAAGGCG